rnacentral:rRNA from 1 species
UACGGGGGGGGCAAGCGUUGUUCGGAAUUACUGGGCGUAAAGGGCUCGUAGGCGGCCAACUAAGUCACACGUGAAAUCCCUCGGCUUAACCGGGGAACUGCGUCUGAUACUGGAUGGCUUGAGUGUGGGAGAGGGAUGCGGAAUUCCAGGUGUAGCGGUGAAAUGCGUAGAUAUCUGGAGGAACACCGGUGGCGAAGGCGGCAUCCUGGACCAUUACUGACGCUGAGUGAGCGGAAGCCAGGGGAGCAAACGGGG